rnacentral:rRNA from 1 species
CUAGUGACCGAUAGUGAACCAGUACCGUGAGGGAAAGGUGAAAAGCACCCCGGAAGGGGAGUGAAACAGAACCUGAAACCGUGUGCUUACAAGUAGUCAGAGCCCGUUAAUGGGUGAUGGCGUGCCUUUUGUAGAAUUAACCGGCGAGUUACGAUUUGAUGCAAGGUUAAGCAGUAAAUGUGGAGCCGUAGCGAAAGCGAGUCUGAAUAGGGCGUUUAGUAUUUGGUCGUAGACCCGAAACCAGGUGAUCUACCCUUGGUCAGGUUGAAGUUCAGGUAACACUGAAUGGAGGACCGAACCGACUUACGUUGAAAAGUGAGCGGAUGAACUGAGGGUAGCGGAGAAAUUCCAAUCGAACCUGGAGAUAGCUGGUUCUCUCCGAAAUAGCUUUAGGGCUAGCCUCAAGUGAUGAUUAUUGGAGGUAGAGCACUGUUUGGACGAGGGGCCCCUCUCGGGUUACCGAAUUCAGACAAACUCCGAAUGCCAAUUAAUUUAACUUGGGAGUCAGAACAUGGGUGAUAAGGUCCGUGUUCGAAAGGGAAACAGCCCAGACCACCAGCUAAGGUCCCAAAAUAUAUGUUAAGUGGAAAAGGAUGUGUCGUUACCCAGACAACUAGGAUGUUGGCUUAGAAGCAGCCAUCAUUUAAAGAGUGCGUAAUAGCUCACUGGUCGAGUGACCC